AGAGCGAACAACGUGAAUAUUAUCUUUCAUUAAAGUAUAAAUAUGAUGUUCAUUUUGUUGACAUGUAUUAAUUGCUUCAUCAUAUUUUCUAGCGUCGUCAGCAUCUAGUGUGCCAAAGAAAAAUUUUAAAAUUUCGCCUCCGAAUUCAAGGGCGCGUUUUUGACGUAGAUUCAAUCUUAAGAUUAUUAGAACUAACUAGUAUUUCUAAAGGGUUAAUAAUAUCUUUA
rnacentral:misc_RNA from 1 species